rnacentral:tRNA from 1 species
CCUGGUGGCUCAGAGGUUAAAGCGUCUGCCUUCAAUGCAGAAGCCCCGGGAUCAAUCCCUGGGUCAGGA